UCUGUACCUCUGUUUUCUUUUAUAAAAUUAUGGAAAUGUAUAGUGCACAUCUCACUCUCUUAUUGUGAAUACUGUGAAGAUUAAAAAAGGUAAUAUAUGUCAGUUAUCAUGCAAUAUGCCCAGCAUAAGAACUCACUGAAUAUUAAAUACUAUAAUUCUUAUUGUUACUAACUGUCUUUUCCACUUCAUUAUCAUUCUUAUUAGCAUCAUCUCCAUGAGAUCAAAGUGUUCCAAUUAUAUCCUGAGGAGGCUGUUGUUUGAUCUAUUUUUCAACUGUAAGAUGGUCCUUAAUAACAUCAAUAAUAUGUAUUAAUUGGUAAGUAUGGCCAAGAAGACUAUUUGGGCUGAUUUGUCCUAAAUCAGUUACUUUCCAGGGACUUCCCUCAUCAAAAGUCAUGUAAAAUUCAAUCUAAUGAGAGGUUUGCCAAAGAAUUUACAGGAUGCCUUUGGUAUUCAAACAGAAUAUUCUUGAAUCUGAUAUAGCAAACCCAGGGAACUGAAACAAAUUACUUAAUUUUUCAGUUUCUGGAAAUUUAGAACUUAGGAAUUCUCUGAAAUACAUUUUGAUUUUGAAGAUUUAAUAAAAUUGUAUUCCUUUGUAAGACUGAGCUUACAUUCAUCUCUAUCUUAGAAAUUGUUCUUAAACACUUUUCAACCACCAAAAUGUUAAUACUUGUACCUUACAUUUGUGACCACUUAUAUAGAAUCUGAUAGUAUUAGUUGUUUCAUGUGAAUGAGUCUUAUUUUUCUAAAAAUUUUUUCUAAAAGUUUUUAACCGUUAUAUAUUCCUAUAGUGACAGCAUCUUCCACACUUAAAAACUUAUAAUACGGUUAAUUAAUGUUCAUACACUUACAGAGUACUUGGGAAUGCUUUUUAAAUAUCUACCUCUGACAUAGUUAGGGCAAGUAAUUUUAUUUAACAAGGGAGAAAAUUUAAAUUUCAGAGCAUUAAGUCAUUUAUUCAAAGUCAUUUAUCUAGUAAGUGACAGACCCCAAAUUUCAACUCAAGUAGGUCUUUAUAUGUCAAAUCUGGUCCUUGGGAGUAUUUUUGUUCUAACAAACAUUGCUUCUUCAAGUGCAUAUUCUUUCACUAGACUGGGAAUAUAUGAAAGCCAGUACUUUCGUGACUUCUUUGUACACUCAGGUGGUUCAAUGUUUUUCUCGCAAGAAACCAAGUGAAUAUUAAAAAUAUUCCUAAUUGACAAGGAAGUACAGGAGCUGACUUGCUAGGAUCACAGAACCAACAACAAGAGUGCGUCUGCAUGUCAAGACUCUGACCUACUGUGUGGGACUCUUUUCAUUACUCCAUCCUCAUCCUCCACCAGCCAUAGCCACCGAAGAACACUCACUUAUUUAAGCAAACUCUGUUUUUAGAAUUGAAGAUGAUAAUUAUUUAUUGCUUUUUUCAGAGUUUUUAUUUUUUAACAUUUAUUACAACAAAUUAGAAUAUAAGAUGAUGUGUCACGCCACCUUCCCCCAGAACUGAUUCUGCUUAUUUGACGGUUUGGAUAGAGGGCGGCUUUCCCUAUUGCAUGCUUUCUCAUACUGCAUCUUUAGACAAAGGUGACCAUCCCAUAGAGAUAGCGAUGCAGAUCUUGCUAGAGCUUCUAAACAACUAAAUAACCAACUGAUGAUCAAACAUUCAUCCAUCCCUUUAUAAGUUCAUUUAUUUAAUAAAUAUUCACCUUAUUGAAUUAGUGGGAAGAUAAUGAUGAAUAAGCUAUAGUAUAGUGGAUGCAGUAGAGAAGGAACUUUAUAAAUCCACAGAAAUAUAUACUUGAUCUUUGGGGUGAACUAUUGGGUAUCAUAAAAGCACUUAGUGUGCACCAGUCUGUGUUCUAAAUAGUUCACAUUUAGGAACUCAAUUAAUAUUCAUUUAUAUCUGAGAGAGAACUAUUAUUUACCCCAACCUACAGAUAAUAUAAUGGACACCCAAAUGAAUUAAGUAACUUUCUCAAGGUGGAUAUAGAGUAACUAAAUUAAGGCUUGAACAGUAUACCUGAGUGUAAAGUGAUCAGCCAAAAAUAUUUUUAAAUGCAUACUUAAUUAUAAAUAAAAUACAUUAAAAUCUAUAUUGGGACAUUAGUCUUUCUAUAAAAAGCAUUCAGUAUACUGGCCACAGAAAAUAAAUUACUGAUCUAAAAAAGUCUGGCUCAUAGAAGUAGAGAGUAGAAUGGUGGUGUAAUAACUAUUCAAUCCUAUAUCUGAGAGAAAAAAAAUCAUUCAUAGUGUGAGUUUAAGGUGAGGGAUGGAAGAGAUGAGAAGGAGAAAUGUGGUUUUACUUGUUUUACUACUUGUUCUAACAAUCCUUGUAUUACCCUCGAUUCUUAAUUUAAAACAUCUAUUUGUCCCAUUAAAUCAAAUUAUUAAAAAAAAAACAUAAUCCAGAAGAGGAUUAACUUUUGGUAAUAUAACACCAUUAAGUAUGAUAUAAAACUGAUUUUGUCUUGUUAUAAAAUAAAUAUAAGUUCAUGUUAGCUCUGACUACCAUAACAAAAUACCACAGUCUAGAUGGCUUAAACAAUGCAAAUUUAUUUUCUCACAGUUCUGGAGGCUGAAAGUCUGAAAUCAAGGUACCAGCAUAGUGAGGGUUUGGUGAGUGCUCUCUUCCUGGCUUGAAGGCAUCCACCUUCCUGCUGUGCGCUCACAAGGCCUUUCCUUGGUAUGUGCAUGGGUAGAAAAAAAGAGAGCUCUUCUUCUUCCUUUUCUUAGAAGGCCACUGGUCUUUUCAAAUUUAGGGCUCCUAUGUUACGACUUCAUGUAACCAUAAAUAUGUCUUAAAAACCCUAUCUCCAAAUGCAGCCACACUGGGAGUUGGGGCUUGUACUUAUGAAUUUGAGGGAGACACAAUUUACAGUUUAGUCUGUAGCAUUCUCCUUUUGGUCCCCUAAAAUUCAUAUCCUUCUCACAUGCAAAAUACAUCCAUUCUAUUCCAACAGUUCCAGGAGUCUUAACUCAUUCCUGCACUAAUUCUCAUUAUGUUCAUUUUUGUCUAGUCAGGAAUUUUAAUUGGACAGCUUUCCAUUUACACUUACUGUAAUUAUUAAUUUGCUUUAUCUUUUUUUAUCACUUGUUCUGCUGUCUCUCAAUUAUUGUCACCAUUUGAGUUAAUAAUAUAAUUUAUAGUAUUUCAUUUUAAUACCUUUUCAGAGUUCUUACCAUACUGCUUUGUGUUAUGUGUUUAAUAACUAUUCUUAGGAUUUACAUAUACAAUCUUGUACUAUUAUUUACUAGAAUAUUUUAUCUUUUCAUAUAAGAUGGAUACGUCUUGAAAUACUAUAAGUUACUCCCACUUUUGAUGCUACUUUUUUUUUUUUAUUUUUUGAGACGGAGUCUCGCUCUGUCGCCCAGGCUGGAGUGCAGUGGCGCGAUCUCGGCUCACUGCAAGCUCCGCCUCCCGGGUUCACGCCAUUCUCCUGCCUCAGCCUCCCGAGUAGCUGGGACUACAGGCGCCCGCCACCAUGCCCGGCUAAUUUUUUGUAUUUUCAGUAGAGACGGGGUUUCACCUUGUUAGCCAGGAUGGUCUCGAUCUCCUGACCUCGUGAUCCGCCCGCCUCUGCCUCCCAAAGUGCUGGGAUUACAGGCGUGAUCCACCGCGCCUGGCAAUGCUACUGUUUUCAUAUAUUUUACGUCAACACUUUUUAAAGCACAAAUACAAUGUUAUGAAGUUGAUCAAGAGUUAGCUCUUUUUGAAAAAUUGAAGAAAAAGGUUAAUUAUUUAUGCUUACGUACAUAUUUGUCAUUUCUUAUUUUCUUCAUUCUUGUCUAGAUCAGAGUUUCUAUGUAGCGUUAUUUUCCUUCAACCUAAAAAACUUACUUUUGUUUGUAGUACAAUUCUGUCAGCAACAAUUGCUCCCACUUGUUAUUUGAGAAUGAUUUUAUUUCACCUGUAUUCUUGACUUAAAUAUUUACUGGAUAUAGAAAUCAUAAUUGAAAUGAUUUUCCCCCAGCACUGUAGUGAUUUCAUUACCUUGUCUGUCUGACUCUAUUAUUUCUUAUGAAAUAUCCACUAUUAUUUGUAUCAUGGUUUCUUUGUAGGUAAUAUAUCUUCUCCCUUUAGCUGCUUUCAAAGAUUUCUCUUUAUCUUUGAUUUUCAAUAAAACCUCUGUGUAGUCUUCCUUGUGUUUAUCUUUGCAUGGAUUGCUGAGGUUUCUGGCUUUGUAAAUUGAUAUUUUAAUUUAAUUUGUGAAAUUUUUGGCUACUAUAUUUUCAAAAAUGUUAAUAUUGCAGUUUAUUUCUUCUCUUCUUUGAGAACUUUAAUUAAAUCUAUUUUAGAACUCCUUAUAUUUCCUAUAGCUUACUGGUGUCCUGUUCAAUGUUUUAACUCUUUAUAAACAAACAAACAAACAAACAAAGGCUUCUGUUUUUUCAAAUUAGCCAUUAAAUUCAACCAUGACUUUUUUCUCCUUAAUUUCAGAUAUGGCACAUGUCAGUACUAGAAUUUCCACAAUUUAUACUUAUUUUUCCACUGAGAAUUUUCAUCAGUUUAUUUGUCUUUUCCUUUAAGUCCUUAAUAUUAUUCAUAAUGGCUAAUUUACUUUUCAUUUUUUGCCAAAUCCCAUAUCUGGCUUUCCUGGAAUACAUCUGUUGACUUUUUCUCUUGUCAAUGGGUCACUUUUUCUUGUUUCUUGUCACAGUAUAUAUUUUUAAAACAGCCUCAAAAUUACAGAGAAGUUUCAAAUUCAGCGCUAAUAAAUUAUUCACCUGAAUCUUUUGAGAGCAAGUUGCUGACAUGUUUCCUCAUGUCAGCAUGAAGAAACCGCUAAAGAAUUUAGUGGAUAUUCUCUAUCAACAAUGACAUUAUCCUGUAUAAUCAUA
rnacentral:lncRNA from 10 species